GCAUAUCAAUAAGCGGAGGAAAAGAAACCAACAGGGAUUGCCCUAGUAACGGCGAGUGAAGCGGCAACAGCUCAAAUUUGAAAUCUGGCUCUCGGGCCCGAGUUGUAAUUUGUAGAGGAUACUUUUGAUGCGGUGCCUUCCGAGUUCCCUGGAACGGGACGCCAUAGAGGGUGAGAGCCCCGUCUGGUUGGAUGCCAAAUCUCUGUAAAGUUCCUUCGACGAGUCGAGUAGUUUGGGAAUGCUGCUCUAAAUGGGAGGUAUAUGUCUUCUAAAGCUAAAUACCGGCCAGAGACCGAUAGCGCACAAGUAGAGUGAUCGAAAGAUGAAAAGCACUUUGAAAAGAGAGUUAAAAAGUACGUGAAAUUGUUGAAAGGGAAGCGUUUAUGACCAGACUUGGGCUUGGUUGAUCAUCUGGGGUUCUCCCCAGUGCACUCUUCCAGUCCAGGCCAGCAUCAGUUUUCCCCGGGGGAUAAAGACUUCGGGAAUGUGGCUCUCUUCGGGGAGUGUUAUAGCCCGUUGUGUAAUACCCUGGGGGGGACUGAGGUUCGCGCAUCUGCAAGGAUGCUGGCGUAAUGGUCAUCAACGACCCGUCUUGAAACACGGACCAAGGAGUCGUCUUCGUAUGCGAGUGUUCGGGUGUCAAACCCCUACGCGUAAUGAAAGUGAACGCAGGUGAGAGCUUCGGCGCAUCAUCGACCGAUCCUGAUGUUCUCGGAUGGAUUUGAGUAAGAGCAUACGGGGCCGGACCCGAAAGAAGGUGAACUAUGCCUGUAUAGGGUGAAGCCAGAGGAAACUCUGGUGGAGGCUCGCAGCGGUUCUGACGUGCAAAUCGAUCGUCAAAUAUGGGCAUGGGGGCGAAAGACUAAUCGAACCUUCUAGUAGCUGGUUUCCGCCGAAG
rnacentral:rRNA from 1 species